rnacentral:lncRNA from 1 species
AUGUUUGGGUUUGCUGUGCAGCUGAAUAAAUCAAAGGAAGGUCUUGACAGACUGCAGAAUGAUCUCCCAGACUCGUCUACGGUGAUGGGAUCCCUGGUGGAUCUUCAGGGUGUUCUGAGCCUCACUGAGCGCCUUCCAAGAUGGAUUGAGCAGGAGCAUCACACUUUGGCAUCUCUACAACACCAUGUGGCACGAUUGCUUGGGGUCUCAAAUUUGCAGCAGCUGAAAGUGUGUCCUCAAAUCUGUCAGGACUUGCAGUCUCUACAGGGUCACUGCAGAAGUCUCAGAGAUCAGAGCAAUAAUAUCCGCCGGGAGGUGCUUUUUGAGAACCAGGAGUUGGGUCGUGUGCAGGAUGAGCUGGGUGUCGUUCAGCAGAAUGUUCUCUCUCUUUUGACGGCUUUACAGUCGGAGUCAGCUGCUCAACAUUUACAGGUUGGUGCCUGUGUUUGACAGGCAGGCUGUCUGUUUCUGCAGUCCUUGGUGUUGAUAUUGUGUUCACUGUGUUGUAUUGCAUUGUAGGAAGUCAAAGUGGAGUUGGUUUCACAGAAGGCUCGACUGCAGGAUGUCAUGGACAGAGUGCAGAAGAAAUGGAGCUGUGUGCCUACAGAGAUUCAAAUCUUACACAAUGAGCUCAACGUCUCCAUGCAGGAGGCCCAAGACAAAGUAUUCACUUUAUUUAAUUUUGUAAUAAAUACUUUAUAAUAAAUGCCUUGAACAUGUAAAAGAACAUUUGUAAAUAUGUAAUAUGUAUUUAAUAUGACACCUAUAGUUUCAGUGUAUUUGUGUUGUGUGUUAGUUUCAAUUAAAGCUAAUACAAUUGUAUCUUUUUUUUUUCUUUCAGUUGGUCAUGGUCAUGGAGAGAAGUGGUCCUCUCUGCAAAAUGGGUGAGCUGGUUGGAGAGGUGAGGGUGGGCUUGAAUUGUGUGCAGGCCCUGCUGAAGCAAACAAGUCCUAAUUUUUCUGAGGCUGAACAUACACAAAAGGUACUUCUUUCUGGCUUGCCUUCAUGUGAACAUUAUUGAAAAUAUCUUUCUAUCAGUUGCUUAGUUUUUCUUUUCUCUCUAUUUACUUAGUUUUGCAUACUACUUAAACAUUCUUUUAAUGUAUUCUUACUCUAUAAUUGUAAAAAUAUAAGUAUAAAACAAACAGAUUAUGGUGCCAUUUUCAUUGUAAACAACGUUUAAUAUAAAUGGCAAAACUAAUUAAUAUAAAGUGAAACUGAAACUACCGGUGUGUGAGAAAUGUGCUGUACAAAAACAAAAAAAAAUCUUUUCAGAUUUUAAAAGUCUUGUAGUAUAUUCCAGCCUCAAACCUGGGUUCACAUACUUCUCUCCUUCAACACGAAUCCAAAUGUGUGCGGUUUGCAUGUUUUUCAUACUUGACGCUAAUUGCAUUAUAUAAGAGAGAGAGAGAAUAUAUGAACACUUGGUAAAAUGUCUAAAAUUCUUUACAUUUUUAAAAUGUACAAAAUAUAAUUAAGAAAUAAAAAAAAUAAAAAAGAAUAAAAGUGAAAUAUUAAGGCUUCAUGACAUACUGACAUGACAUACAACUGUUCUUCCAGCUCUCAUAUUUUUAGUUUGUGUCCAGUAAAAUUUGAUGUCAGAAGUAACUCAGGUCUGGUGUGCGUCUGUGCCUGUGUGUGCAGCGCAUAUGGGAUGAGCUGGACCAGUGGCACACUCGGAUAGCUGAGCUGGAGGCUGAGGUGCAGGAUAUGGCUGAGCAGAAGCCUGAGAGAGCACACAUUCUCAUGGACCAGCUCAUGGAGCCUCUGCAGCUCUACCAGACCACAGCCAAACAGGCCGAGCAAAGGACCGCCCUCGUCAGCAGGGUCAGAUGAUUUCACAACAUAAGCCAACACAUAAUGCCACUGAUAGCAGACUUUGACUGAUUACAUCUUUGUGUCUUGGUCCCUUCAGGUCCCUGCCUGUCUGCAGGACUAUGAGGGUUUACUCAAUAGCGCCAACUGCUGGUUGAGAGAGGCUCAGUCCUGGCUGGUCGCACCCAGAACCUACACCACUGCCAAAUGCAUCAACUCUCAUGCCAACUCCCUUGAGGUCAGGUCAAAACCUCAAUUUAUAGACAUUUUGCCUUUAAGCAGUAACUUGUUAACAG